GGAACCAAAGAAAAGGAUUAACUCAGUCAACAAUAAAUUUAACCACUUGAAAACCAAAUAUUUUGGUUAUAAUUAAUACAAAUUGAAUAUUAUUUCAAUUCAUAUAAUUUAUGUCAUUUAAAAUAUCAGCUUUCAUAUCUUUAAGACACCUUUUCUUUCUUUUUUCUAUUGAAACCUCCAAAAAUUGAAUUUACAACAGAGAAAACAAAUUUUGAAAUCAAUGUUGUAGGCUUCGAUGAACAAAAAAGAAUAAAUUUGUCUAUGAAAAAAUGAAAAUUGGCAUUUUAAUUAACA
rnacentral:lncRNA from 1 species